GAUGAACGCUGGCGGCGUGCUUAACACAUGCAAGUCGAACGGAAAGGCCCAAGCUUGCUUGGGUGCUCGAGUGGCGAACGGGUGAGUAACACGUGGGUGAUCUGCCCUGCACUUUGGGAUAAGCCUGGGAAACUGGGUCUAAUACCGGAUAGGACCAUCGUUUAGUGUCGGUGGUGGAAAGUUUUUCGGUGUGGGAUGAGCUCGCGGCCUAUCAGCUUGUUGGUGGGGUAAUGGCCUACCAAGGCGUCGACGGGAAGCCGGCCUGAGAGGGUGUACGGCCACAUUGGGACUGAGAUACGGCCCAGACUCCUACGGGAGGCAGCUGUGGGGAAUAUUGCACAAUGGGCGCAAGCCUGAUGCAGCGACGCCGCGUGGGGGAUGACGGCCUUCGGGUUGUAAACUCCUUUCGCCAAGGACGAAGCGUUUUGUGACGGUACUUGGAGAAGAAGCACCGGCCAACUACGUG
rnacentral:rRNA from 1 species